AUUGAACGCUGGCGGCAGGCCUAACACAUGCAAGUCGAGCGGAUGAAGGGAGCUUGCUCCUGGAUUCAGCGGCGGACGGGUGAGUAAUGCCCAGGAAUCUGCCUGGUAGUGGGGGAUAACGUCCGGAAACGGGCGCUAAUACCGCAUACGUCCUGAGGGAGAAAGUGGGGGAUCUUCGGACCUCACGCUAUCAGAUGAGCCUAGGUCGGAUUAGCUAGUUGGUGGGGUAAAGGCCUACCAAGGCGACGAUCCGUAACUGGUCUGAGAGGAUGAUCAGUCACACUGGAACUGAGACACGGUCCAGACUCCUACGGGAGGCAGCAGCGGGGAAUAUUGGACAAUGGGCGAAAGCCUGAUCCAGCCAUGCCGCGUGUGUGAAGAAGGUCUUCGGAUUGUAAAGCACUUUAAGUUGGGAGGAAGGGCAGUAAGUUAAUACCUUGCUGUUUUGACGUUACCAACAGAAUAAGCACCGGCUAACUUCGUG
rnacentral:rRNA from 1 species